rnacentral:rRNA from 1 species
AUUGAACGCUGGCGGCAUGCCUUACACAUGCAAGUCGAACGGCAGCACGGGAGCAAUCCUGGUGGCGAGUGGCGAACGGGUGAGUAAUAUAUCGGAACGUGCCCAGUAAUGGGGGAUAGCCCGGCGAAAGCCGGAUUAAUACCGCAUACGACCUACGGGUGAAAGUAGGGGAUCGCAAGACCUUGCGUUAUUGGAGCGGCCGAUAUCAGAUUAGCUUGUUGGUGGGGUAAAAGCCUACCAAGGCAACGAUCUGUAGCUGGUCUGAGAGGACGACCAGCCACACUGGGACUGAGACACGGCCCAGACUCCUACGGGAGGCAGCAGUGGGGAAUUUUGGACAAUGGGCGCAAGCCUGAUCCAGCCAUGCCGCGUGCGGGAAGAAGGCCUUCGGGUUGUAAACCGCUUUUGUCAGGGAAGAAACGGCUCUUGCUAAUAUCGAGAGCUAAUGACGGUACCUGAAGAAUAAGCACCGACUAACUACGUGCCAGCCGCCGCAGUAAUAC